ACCCCCCACAAUCUACACAUCUACAACAUCUACUAUACUUGAUGCAGGGAUUGGCGUGUUUGUGCAGAGCAAGAGGUGGAAAGUGAAGGAACUACUAGAAAAAAAUGAAUCAAAUAUUAAUUGUAACAAUUACAAAUGUGCGUGUGUGGACACCUUAUAUUAAAUUAGAUUAGAUUAGAUUAGACAUUAUGGAAUAAUGUAAGAAGAUAUUGCGGAAGGGAAGUUCUGGACAUGUCAUUGUAGUCUCCUGCAUAGUCUCCUGUUCUCAUGGAUUUGUCGUUUCUGGGGACUAAAAUAAUCAGCUGUCCUCAGGGGCCCUCUUCCAGCUCUGGAUGCCUGCUUUGCCUCCCCUGUCAUAGAAUGCGGGAAAAUUCUGCCAUUUCUACACCGUUUUUGCUUAUAGCACAUACAUUGGUAACGAUAUACUACUGAUCACUAACUGGAUCGACUUGCAGAUAAUCUGUAUAGAGUUAGUUUCACACAGAGUUUGGUUCACCUGGAAAAAGCAGUAUGUGAAGUCAACCAUGCAUCUGUCGAGUUGCAUUACAGUUUCUGAAGGCCUCCAGCACACAGCCAUUCAGUGGGGCUGAAUUCACUUUCUGUCCUACAGAGAAGGUAGGGAAAAAAAACAGACCUCUUGCUCUGUCAAGCAUCCUCGAGUGGAGUGCAGUUUCUGUUACUGCCGCUCUCUUAGGUACAUGCAGUGCAUGGGUACAGCAGCGCGACUGGACUGAACCCUCGCCAGGUGAGAGGAGGGAAGAAGUGCCCAGAGUCUGCGACGGGGUGGCAGGGGCGUGGUGCAGCGGAGUGGCGGCGGCCCAUUCCACGAAAGCAUUCCAGAGCCCUGCGUGGCUGCCCCGGCGAGUCUCAGGGAGUGACUCAGUCGCGCCCCUGGGCUCGGAGGAAUCAUGUGAGAGCCUCAUUCUUGGCAUUCCAUUUAGUUUUGUACCAAUCCACACUCGGGCUGAGUCAUCCAAAGAUCGGGGAGGGGAACACACUCAGUCACACACACACACACACACACACACACAGACACAGACAUGCAUUCACACACACAAACGCACACGCACACACACAAAUGCACCCAGACACACACACACACACACACACACACACACAAACGCGCACACACACAAACGCGCACACACAAAUGCACACACACACACAAACGCACACACACACACAAACGCACACACACACACAAACGCACACAAACGCAUACAAAAUAAAUGGACGCUCCCCACCCUGCGCUCUCUCUGUCUCUGUCUGACUGUUGCUAUUUCUUUGUUUUCUUCAAGGUUACUCCUCUCCCUCCCCCCAUCCAAGGCCUGUUCCCUAGCGCCACCCCUGCUCUCUCUGUGCCCAGUCAAACCGAACCACGCCCAAUGGAGCUCAGAGGCCUGAGCUGCAUACCAAGAGAGCGAGCACAUGGUGGAAGAGGAGAGGCUCACUUCAACAAGC
ensembl:lncRNA